rnacentral:lncRNA from 1 species
UAUCUAGAUCUGAAUCUCAAUUGAUCGUAUCCUCCGCUCAAUUCCCAUCGCCAUCUUCCAGGUUCCACCCGCGAUGGUCAUCUCCUCUAAUCGAUGCCCGCUAGAGCGCCACUGAUGAUUCGCGGUUGAGUUACGGAAGAACCACCAGACAACCAUCAUCACUGCUGGAAUCCUUGUCGGUCGACUCCUCUUCGCUUCAAUCCUUAUGUCAGCCAUGGACAGGUAUGAGCAUUCAAGAAUGCCCGAGGAUAAAAUUAAAGAACUUGUUGCAGAAACAUUGGUUGCAGUUGGAUUAAAGGUGGGUAGUUGCACUACCAUGUGGAGUUCAUAAACUUACAAAGGCUUUCAAGCUAGAUCUUGCUAUAUAUUCCAGCUUACAAGAUGCUAAACCUUGCGCACUGGUUGCACUGUGGAAGGCUAACACCUUUAGUGGAGCAAUGAAGAUUUUGAAGACCACUCACUUAAGGAACCAUGUCGUUGUGUGAAGAGUAGAGGAAUACUCGGCGUUGGAUAUGGAUGGCAUUUGCGAAGAAUGGUCGAGUUAGGCAACAACUUUUGUUUUUAAGUGACAAACUGUAUUUUAGGUAUCAGCGAAUGUAUUGU